rnacentral:misc_RNA from 1 species
CAUUCAGUAGCCUAGCUACUUGUUUAUACCCUUGUUUUUUGCGUACUUAUUGUUUCCUCGGCGGGCUUGCCUGCCGAUUGGACAAAACUAUAACCUUUUUAAAUCUUCAAUCAGCGUCUGAAUUAUACAUAAUAAUUA